GUACGGGAGGCAGCAGUGAGGAAUUUUCCACAAUGGGCGAAAGCCUGAUGGAGCGACGCCGUGUGUGCGAUGAAGUCUUUCGGGAUGUAAAGCACUGUCAGAGGGGACGAUAUUGACGGUACCCUCAGAGGAAGCCACGGCUAACUACGUGCCAGCAGCCGCGGUAAUACGUAGGUGGCGAGCGUUGUCCGGAAUUAUUGGGCGUAAAGCGCGUGUAGGUGGUUUUGUAAGUCAGAUGUUAAAGUCUACGGCUCAACCGUGGUUCGCAUCUGAUACUGCAUAACUAGAGAGAUUCAGAAGAAAGCGGAACUUGCGGUGUAGCGGUGAAAUGCGUAGAUAUCGCAAGGAACACCAGUGGCGAAGGCGGCUUUCUAGGGAUUUUCUGACACUGAGACGCGAAAGCUAGGGGAGCAAACGGGAUUAGAUACCCUGGU
rnacentral:rRNA from 1 species